rnacentral:rRNA from 1 species
CUAUAUCCAUCUACACCUGUGAACUGUUGAUUGACUUCGGUCAAUUACUUUUACAAACAUUGUGUAAUGAACGUCAUGUUAUUAUAACAAAAAUAACUUUCAACAACGGAUCUCUUGGCUCUCGCAUCGAUGAAGAACGCAGCGAAAUGCGAUAAGUAAUGUGAAUUGCAGAAUUCAGUGAAUCAUCGAAUCUUUGAACGCAACUUGCGCUCUCUGGUAUUCCGGAGAGCAUGCCUGUUUGAGUAUCAUGAAAUCUCAACCAUUAGGGUUUCUUAAUGGCUUGGAUUUGGGCGCUGCCACUUGCCUGGCUCGCCUUAAAAGAGUUAGCGUAUUAACUUGUCGAUCUGGCGUAAUAAGUUUCGCUGGUGUAGACUUGAGAAGUGCGCUUCUAAUCGUCUUCGGACAAUUCUUGAACUCUGGUCUCAAAUCAGGUAGGACUACCCGCUGAACUUAAGCAUAUCAAUAAGCGGAGGAAAAGAAACUAACUAGGAUUCCCUUAGUAACGGCGAGUGAACCGGGAAAAGCUCAAAUUUGUAAUCUGGCUGUCUUCGAUAGUCCGAGUUGUAAUCUAUAGACGUGUUUUCCGUGCUGGACCGUAUCUAAGUCCCUUGGAACAGGGUAUCAAAGAGGGUGACAAUCCCGUGCUUGAUACGACCACCAGUGCUCUGUGAUACACGCUCUACGAGUCGAGUUGUUUGGGAAUGCAGCUCAAAAUGGGUGGUAAAUUCCAUCUAAAGC